rnacentral:rRNA from 1 species
UGGGGAAUUUUGGACAAUGGGGGCAACCCUGAUCCAGCAAUGCCGCGUGAGUGAAGAAGGCCUUCGGGUUGUAAAGCUCUUUUGUCCGGGAAGAAAUCCCCUGGGAUAACACCUCGGGGGGAUGACGGUACUGGAAGAAUAAGCACCGGCUAACUACGUGCCAGCAGCCGCGGUAAUACGUAGGGUGCGAGCGUUAAUCGGAAUUACUGGGCGUAAAGCGUGCGCAGGCGGUUUUCCAAGACAGAUGUGAAAUCCCCGGGCUCAACCUGGGAAUGGCAUUUGUGACUGGAAGGCUAGAGUGUGUCAGAGGGGGGUAGAAUUCCACGUGUAGCAGUGAAAUGCGUAGAGAUGUGGAGGAAUACCGAUGGCGAAGGCAGCCCCCUGGGAUAACACUGACGCUCAUGCACGAAAGCGUGGGGAGCAAACAGGAUUAGAUACCCUGGUAGUCCACGCCCUAAACGAUGUCUACUAGUUGUCGGGUCUUCAUUGACUUGGUAACGCAGCUAACGCGUGAAGUAGACCGCCUGGGGAGUACGGUCGCAAGAUUAA